rnacentral:rRNA from 1 species
AAAUUUCUGCAGUCGAGAUUCCUACGGGAGGCAGCAGUGGGGAAUCUUGCACAAUGGGGGAAACCCUGAUCCAGCCACGCCGCGUGUGGGAUGACGGCCUUCGGGUUGUAAACCUCUUUCGCCGAUGACGAAAAUGACGGUAAUCGCAGAAGAAAGCCCGGCCAACUACGUGCCAGCAGCCGCGGUAACACGGAGGGACCGAGCGUUGUCCGGAUUUAUUGGGCGUAAAGAGCUCGUAGGCGGUUUUGUAAGUCGGAUGUGAAAUCUCGGGGCUCACCCCGAGACGCCAUCUGAUACUGCAAUGACUAGAGUCCGGUAGGGUAGCAUGGAAUUCCUGGUGUAAGGGUGGAUUGCGCAAAUUUCAGGAGGAACACCAAUGGCGAAGGCAGUGCUCGGGGCCGGUAUUGACCUUAAGGACCGAAAGGUGGGGGAGCAAACAGGAUUAGAUACCCCUGGGUAGUCCACGCCGUAACGUUGGGGCCUAACUGUGGGGCCUUCGAACGGGUUCCGUUGCCCCAACUAAAUUAUUAAUUGCCCCUGCUGGGUAGUACGGCCGCAUGGCUACUACUCGGAUGAAUUGACGGAAU